GAUGAACGCUAGCUACAGGCUUAACACAUGCAAGUCGAGGGGUAACGAGAGGAAAGCUUGCUUUCCUUGUCGACGACCGGCGCAUGGGUGAGUAACGCGUAUCCAACCUGCCCCCAACUAGGGAAUAACCUUGCGAAAGUAAGACUAAUACCCUAUAAUUUCCUCAGAUGUCAUCUGACGAGGAAUAAAGAUUUAUCGGUUGUGGAUGGGGAUGCGUCUGAUUAGCUUGUUGGCGGGGUAACGGCCCACCAAGGCAACGAUCAGCAGGGGUUGGGAGAGGAAGGUCCCCCACAUUGGAACUGAGACACGGUCCAAACGCCUACGGGAGGCAGCAGUGAGGAAUAUUGGUCGAUGGGCGGAAGCCUGAACCAGCCAAGUAGCGUGCAGGAUGACGGCCCUAUGGGUUGUAAACUGCUUUUAUACAGGAAUAAAGUUAGCCACGUGUGGUUAUUUGUAGGUACUGUAUGAAUAAGGACCGGCUAAUUCCGUGCCAGCCGCCGCCGUAA
rnacentral:rRNA from 1 species